rnacentral:lncRNA from 1 species
GCCGGUGGAGGGUCGGCAAGAGUGGGAGCAAGAGAACGGAGAGGGAAAGGGGUGCCGUGAUUGGAUGAUAAUGGGAGAAUGGAAGGGGAUAAGGCUUGCAUGGGGUCUGCAUGUGUGGAUGGGGAGAGAGGGCUACCCCUUUAGUAUCGGGUGGAGACUUCACCCGGUACUAAAGGUCACCCAUUAGUAUCGGGUGAAGCCUUCACCCGGUACUAAAGAACCUUAGGCACAUUAGUACCGAUUGGAGGCUUCAACCGGUACUAAUGGGUGACCUUUAGUAUCGGGGAAGCCUCCACCCGGUAUUAAAGGGGGUCAUGGCGGGUUCCUCGGGGACUAGCCGUUAGGUCCGGUACUAAUGCUCACAUUAAUACUAGGCCAAAAUGCAACCGGCACU